rnacentral:rRNA from 1 species
GAUUGAACGCUAGCGGGAUGCUUUACACAUGCAAGUCGAACGGCAGCGCGAGAGAGCUUGCUCUCUUGGCGGCGAGUGGCGGACGGGUGAGUAAUAUAUCGGAACGUGCCCAGUAGCGGGGGAUAACUACUCGAAAGAGUGGCUAAUACCGCAUACGCCCUACGGGGGAAAGGGGGGGAUCGCAAGACCUCUCACUAUUGGAGCGGCCGAUAUCGGAUUAGCUAGUUGGUGGGGUAAAGGCUCACCAAGGCAACGAUCCGUAGCUGGUUUGAGAGGACGACCAGCCGCACUGGGACUGAGACACGGCCCAGACUUCUACGGGAGGCAGCAGUGGGGAAUUUUGGACAAUGGGGGAAACCCUGAUCCAGCCAUCCCGCGUGUAUGAUGAAGGCCUUCGGGUUGUAAAGUACUUUUGGCAGAGAAGAAAAGGUACCUCCUAAUACGAGGUACUGCUGACGGUAUCUGCAGAAUAAGCACCGGCUAACUACGUGCCAGCAGCCGCGGUAAUACGUAGGGUGCAAGCGUUAAUCGGAAUUACUGGGCGUAAAGCGUGUGUAGGCGGUUCGGAAAGAAAGAUGUGAAAUCCCAGGGCUCAACCUUGGAACUGCAUUUUUAACUGCCGAGCUAGAGUAUGUCAGAGGGGGGUAGAAUUCCACGUGUAGCAGUGAAAUGCGUAGAUAUGUGGAGGAAUACCGAUGGCGAAGGCAGCCCCCUGGGAUAAUACUGACGCUCAGACACGAAAGCGUGGGGAGCAAACAGGAUUAGAUACCCUGGUAGUCCACGCCCUAAACGAUGUCAACUAGCUGUUGGGGCCGUUAGGCCUUAGUAGCGCAGCUAACGCGUGAGGUUGACCGCCUGGGGAGUACGGUCGCAAGAUUAAAACUUAAAGGAAUUGACGGGGACCCGCACAAGCGGUGGAUGAUGUGGAUUAAUUCGAUGCAACGCGAAAAACCUUACCUACCCUUGACAUGUCUGGAAAGCCGAAGAGAUUUGGCCGUGCUCGCAAGAGAACCGGAACACAGGUGCUGCAUGGCUGUCGUCAGCUCGUGUCGUGAGAUGUUGGGUUAAGUCCCGCAACGAGCGCAACCCUUGUCAUUAGUUGCUACGCAAGAGCACUCUAAUGAGACUGCCGGUGACAAACCGGAGGAAGGUGGGGAUGACGUCAAGUCCUCAUGGCCCUUAUGGGUAGGGCUUCACACGUCAUACAAUGGUCGGGACAGAGGGUCGCCAACCCGCGAGGGGGAGCCAAUCUCAGAAACCCGAUCGUAGUCCGGAUCGCAGUCUGCAACUCGACUGCGUGAAGUCGGAAUCGCUAGUAAUCGCGGAGCAGAAUGUCGCGGUGAAUACGUUCCCGGGUC